rnacentral:tmRNA from 1 species
GGGGCCGAUCCGGAUUCGACGUGAGUCAAGAUUCAGCGCAGGGCAUGUCGAGCACCAGUACGCUCGUAAAACCACUGGAAACGCAAAUAAACGCCAACGACGAGCGUUUCGCUCUCGCCGCUUAAGCGGUGAGCCGCUGCACUGGUUUGUCCUUGGACCAGGCGGAGAAGGGGCAACUCUUCUAAGGAUUUCAUUCGAAGACUAACCUCGACGGGUGUCAUCUUGAACCGCAGCAGUGACAUUCACAAGGAAUCGGCGUCCACUGGGGUCACACGGUGUACGUUUAAACUACGUGAAUCGCUUUGCACCGGCCUGUCGGUUGGCUAAGUGCAGGGUUAAAUUAAAAUAAAUCGACUACACAUGUAGAACUGCCUGUUGAGGGCUUGCGGACGGGGGUUCAAUUCCCCCCGGCUCCACCA